rnacentral:rRNA from 1 species
GACGAACGCUGGCGGCGUGCUUAACACAUGCAAGUCGAACGGAAAGGCCCUGCUGUUGUGGGGUGCUCGAGUGGCGAACGGGUGAGUAACACGUGAGUAACCUGCCCUUGACUUUGGGACAACUUCAGGAAACUGGGGCUAAUACCGGAUAGGAGCUCCUGCUGCAUGGUGGGGGUUGGAAAGUUUCGGCGGUUGGGGAUGGACUCGCGGCUUAUCAGCUUGUUGGUGGGGUAGUGGCUUACCAAGGCUUUGACGGGUAGCCGGCCUGAGAGGGUGACCGGCAACAUUGGGACUGAGAUACGGCCCAGACUCCUACGGGAGGCAGCAGUGGGGAAUAUUGCACAAUGGGCGGAAGCCUGAUGCAGCAACGCCGCGUGCGGGAUGACGGCCUUCGGGUUGUAACCCGCUUUCGCCUGUGACGAAGCGUGAGUGACGGUAAUGGGUAAAGAAGCACCGGCUAACUACGUG